CAAGAUAUUUAGCAAUAAUGAUAUGACUUAUGCCAUGUAAGUAAAAUUUUAGGGAUGAGGAUAGCUUAAGCCCGUCGGAUUCUUCGCCGCUGUCCACUUCCAUGCAAUCGGCGACGAAAGAAGAAGCAUUAAUGAUGCGGAGGAUAAUGCCGCAAGUAUGAAGUGUAUGGUUGACCGAUGAACAUGAGCGCCGUCUGUAUCGUUCAGCCCUAACUUGAAGGACCUCUUAGGGCGACCAUUUUCUGGUUGAAGUGUAUGCACUCGAUGCGUCGGAUCUGUCACGAGGUUUUUACUGUUGACAGCUCAAGUGCAGCCUUCAGACUUUUCACGAUCUCACUCAGUGAUGGUCUUUUACUACCUUGGUCUUGCAGACAGCUGCUUGCAGUAUCAACAAACAUCCGAAGGCAGUCUGGUGAUAUUUUCCCAACGAGGUUCAAAUUCACAGAAAUGGAGCCUGACUAGGUACCUGAAUCCUAAAUUUACUGGAAUUAUCCAUGUGAGAUUGUGAGCAAUGAGCUG